UGGGGAAUUUUGGACAAUGGGCGAAAGCCUGAUCCAGCAAUGCCGCGUGUGUGAAGAAGGCCUUCGGGUUGUAAAGCACUUUUGUCCGGAAAGAAAUCCUUGGCUCUAAUACAGUCGGGGGAUGACGGUACCGGAAGAAUAAGCACCGGCUAACUACGUGCCAGCAGCCGCGGUAAUACGUAGGGUGCAAGCGUUAAUCGGAAUUACUGGGCGUAAAGCGUGCGCAGGCGGUUUGCUAAGACCGAUGUGAAAUCCCCGGGCUCAACCUGGGAACUGCAUUGGUGACUGGCAGGCUAGAGUAUGGCAGAGGGGGGUAGAAUUCCACGUGUAGCAGUGAAAUGCGUAGAGAUGUGGAGGAAUACCGAUGGCGAAGGCAGCCCCCUGGGCCAAUACUGACGCUCAUGCACGAAAGCGUGGGGAGCAAACAGGAUUAGAUACCCUGGUAGUCCACGCCCUAAACGAUGUCAACUAGUUGUUGGGGAUUCAUUUCCUUAGUAACGUAGCUAACGCGUGAAGUUGACCGCCUGGGGAGUACGGUCGCAAGAUUAAAACUCAAAGGGAAUUGACGGGGUCAUAGCUG
rnacentral:rRNA from 1 species